rnacentral:rRNA from 1 species
UACAGAGGUCCCGAGCGUUGUUCGGAUUCACUGGGCGUAAAGGGCGCGUAGGCGGGGAGGUAAGUCGGGUGUGAAAUCCCUCGGCCCAACCGAGGAACUGCGCCCGAGACUGCUUCUCUUGAGUCCCGGAGAGGAAGAUGGAAUUCCCGGUGUAGCGGUGAAAUGUGUAGAGAUCGGGAGGAACACCGGUGGCGAAGGCGGUCUUCUGGACGGUGACUGACGCUGAGGCGCGAAAGCGUGGGGAGCAAACGGG